rnacentral:tRNA from 1 species
GGAGCAAUACUCAAGUGGUUAAGAGGAGUCCCUGCUAAGGACUUAGAGGGAGUAAUCCCUGCGAGCGUUCAAAUCGCUCUUGCUCCGCCA